CAAUCAUAAUGUUAUUUUCAUGAAUUGAAAUGUGGUCCAAACUAACACAAGUCGGGUUCAUCAACUUGGCCAAUAGGCAGCUCAGCUCUCACAUGGUUGCAAGGAUUCUGGAUUUCCUCAUAAUUUCAUCUACACAAGUAGAAUAUAAUAAUAAUAUGCUGAACAAACACAGUGAAAUUCCUCACAAGAAACUGUAAGAACAAACAGCAUAAAAAACAGAAGAAAAAAAAGUGAUGACCAAGCCUUGAGCAGCAGGCGCCACUGAUUCUUUCCUUGAUAUGUAGAGUAGGAAAGUAGGAAAAGUUUCUAACCAAGAAGCAUAUCCCUGAUGGAAUGUAAUUCACAUGCAACAUCACUGAUAUCCUUUCGGUUCGCGGGGGAUUCAGCAGAACAUGCAAUUCCAAGUUUAAAUAUCAAACUCAAGCACUCCUCCACUCUUUGAGCCUUAAUGAUGUAUUGUUCGGGAGAUUCGAUGCUGCCUUCUUGAAGAAGUAAGUCUGCAAUCUCUGUGAUACUCGGUUUUAUUCAUGUUUCUGACAAUAGUAUAGCCGCGUGGCUAUACUCUUUUGGCAGGUACAACUGAAAUAGUAUCGCCGCACGGCUAUACUACAUUUUAAAAAGUUUUUUGGAGGAUAUAGUAUAGCUGUGCGGCCGUACUAUUGUUUUUUGUUUAAUUUUUUUUUUUAAAAUACUGUAGCCGGACGGCUGCACUUGUUUUGACACGUAGGCGGCUAAUCGCUAGGGAGCCCUCCCUUUUUAAAACAAAAUGGUAUAGCCGGUCGGCGAUACUCGGUUUUUAAAUUUUUUUAAAAAAUAGUAUAGCCGGGCUAUACCUAUUUUGACAUGUGGGCGCCUAAGCGCAAUACGGGUCCUUUCAACAAAAAAAAAAAAAAAAAAAAAAAAAGCUGCGCGGCAAAUCGGUUUUUUAACACGUUUCACACAAUAGUAUAGCCGCGCGGCUAUACCCAGACAUGGUCAAAGAUACUAUGGGUGCAACUAACCAUAAUCAGCUCAAUGAUAUUCCUCCUAAUGUAUGUGUGGAUCUAUUUGGCAGUUGAUAAUCAUUUUCCCCCCUCCUUGUUUCCUAAUCUAGAAGAUGAAAUUGCAGGACGUAUCUACACCGUCUUCUAGAAAACCAAAAGCCAAGAAAAAAGAUAGUGAUGUCGUUAUGUCAUCAGUCGGACCAGAUCAGAGUGCAAUUCAAGUUAGACGCCAGAGUCGGUGGAGGAUUUCUGCGGUAGAGUAGAGCUGAAAUUUUCAGUGAUGAUCGGGAAGAAGCUGAGUGGUUAUCUAUGCCUCUUUCUGAUCUUAGAGUGCUUGCAAAUGAAAUAAUGUCUCUUCGAGCAAAGGGGCUUCUACAUUUGGUCCCUGUAGAUUCUUUUGUUAGAUUGUGAAGGAUUUUAGAUCAUCAGAUACAUCGAGCUGAAGGCUUGUCUAUAAGUGAAUGUGAGCAGGUGAGCUUGUUUUAUGUCCUGCAUUCUUUCUUUCAUAUAGCAUAGCUGUUGUGGUCGUUUGCUUCGUAAACUACAUUUCUUCAGGCUUUUGUGCUGUUCUUCUUGUUUAUAUUUUCAUUGAAAUUUUGUGCUAUUUUUAGUUUUGCUUCUCCAUGAUUUUUUUUUGGGGGGUCUGAUUUUAGAAUCUCCAUGCUAGUAAUGAUGUUACUGAGGUGCCUUGCAAUAUAUUGAUUGUUUUAAAUUUCAUCUUAUAAUGGUCAUGUUAUCUGAAUCAUUGUUUGUCUGACCCUAUGUUUUCCUAUUUAUCACCAUAUUGGGGCAGAAAUAUUAGGGAGAUAAAAAUAAUUACGGAGAAAAAAAAUGUUUUUCAGUAUAGAGAAUGUAUUAAGCAUCUGAGCAUUUGGAGGAGACUACUUAUUAUGUAUAAAUUUCAUUUGGUAGUAAUGGAGACUGGAGAGAGCAAUGGGAACAGUUUUGGGGAGUGAUAAAUGGUCAGAGUAAUAAUGGGAAUAAUCAGGAAAGAGGGGGAGGAAGAAAUUUAGAGAAAUAAUUUCACUCAUUUGGCAGUGGUUAUAACACUAGUUUAAUUUAUAAACUUGUUAUUCAGUAUUUUCGUUGUGGUUAAAAUUUAUGCGCUCAAUUCUAUAUACAUAUAUAUUUGGAGUUUUUAUUUUAAUAGGUAUUCAUGAUCACUUUCAUUUAUUACUUUUCUCUUCAAUAUGUGAGUCAAAUUGAGAUGUGGUUUCAUCAAUAAAUUGUGCACUAGAGUCCAUUCAUGCAGCUUUAGCAGUAAUGGCUCAUAACCAGAUGCCAAAACAACUAUAUAAAGAAGAGAUCAUUGAAAGAAUUCUGGAGUUUUCCAGGCAUCAGAUAAUGGAUGUUAUGUGUGCUUAUGAUCCAUCAUAUCAUGCUUUGCAUAGGCCAAGUCAUAUGUUCCUGAGUUUUUCAUACGUAUUUUAACAUAUUAUUCUGUAUACACAACUCUGUCCAUUCUGUGUAUUGUCUUGCUCAAUCAUUCUGCAUUUUCAGGAGUAGUUGUUUUCAACUUAUGUGAUUUGAGUGACAAUAUUUUUCAAUAUAUUAACAGUUGAGGAAGAUGAAGACCCUGAUGCUGAAAUUGGUUCAGCAAGUAAGAAACGACACAGUAUCAAGACCGUUAAAGUGCAUAAAUCGUCAUUUAACAGGGUCGCCGCUGCUGUGAAUAAUAUUCUUCAGAAAAUGUGCACCAUUCUUGGUUUACUCAAGGAUUUGUUUUUAAUAGAAAGGUUGUCAGAUGGUUGCAUCUUACAACUAGUGAAAACAAGCUUUACAACAUUCAUGUUAUUUACUCAGUGGGAUAUUCUAUUCAUACACUCAGCAUCGGACUUAUGUUAGAUGAAUUAAUUCAGCUGCUUUGGAAGUUACUGUUCUCAAAGCGAGCUUUGAGAGCCUAUCACCUACCUGAUGAAGAGCAAAGGCAGAUUCAAAUGAUCACUGCUUAGUUCAUUCAGUUGGUUCACUAUACUGCUAACCUUCCUGAACCAUGAAGGCAGGAAUCAAGUGGUAAUUUCAUCUUAGAAUUUUCUCUCGAUGCCGAUUAUCCAACUAAAGGCCAUGAGGCAGCAACAGAGGCGUGUUGCCACUUUUGGACUCGUGUACUUCAACGUUUUGCUAGUGUGAAGACUCAGGAAGCUUCGGAGUUGAAAGUAAUGAUGGAGAAUCUUGUUACUGUUCUGCUGACAACGUUGAAUUUACCUGAAUAUCCCGCUUCAGCUCCUAUUCUGCAGGUUCUUUGUGUCUUGUUACUCCAGAAUGCCGGGCUGAAAUCUAAAGACAUAGGUGCUCGUACCAGGGCGAUUGACCUUCUUGGCACAAUUGCUGCGAGGUUGAAGCGUGAUUCUGCCCUUUGCAGUAAGGACAAAUUUUGGAUACUACAGGAGUUGGUUAGUGUGGAUGGGGAUGAUCAGACUGAUCCAAAAAAUGCAUGCUCAGUUUGUUUAGAAGAUAGGGUUGAAAAAAAUUUCUUUGUAUGCCAAGGUUGUUUUGACACGCGGCACCUAAUUGCUA